UACGGGGGGGGGCAAGCGUUGUUCGGAAUUACUGGGCGUAAAGGGCUCGUAGGUGGCCAACUAAGUCAGACGUGAAAUCCCUCGGCUUAACCGGGGAACUGCGUCUGAUACUGGAUGGCUUGAGUUCGGGAGAGGGAUGCGGAAUUCCAGGUGUAGCGGUGAAAUGCGUAGAUAUCUGGAGGAACACCGGUGGCGAAGGCGGCAUCCUGGACCAACACUGACGCUGAUGAGCGAAAGCCAGGGGAGCAAAACGGG
rnacentral:rRNA from 1 species